UGAUAACAACUUAUGCACAUUUCCUCUGGAACCCAGAGCACAGGAAGGCUGGGCAGUUGGCUGCUAAAAUCAAGGCACUUUCACGAAAACAAUCAAAAAGCCAAGAUUUACUUUGAGAGUUUUCACUCUCAAGGGAAAUGGAUCUCACUGAUCCACAUGGGGACACACGCGUUCCCAGGACCCCUGACUGUGCCAGUGAACCCCGUCACCCAGACCCAGAGCAGCUCAAGAGCCUGCGGCAGAAGUUUGCUUAUUUUUAGCACUUACCUCCCUAAAACUUUUGCCACCAAUAAAACUAGUGUAUUAUGCAACUAGAGAACCAAAGCCGAAGUCAUAUUGUCAGCUCUCCUUGUCUCUAUGUGAUCAUUUGCUAUUUGCCAAACGCCAUUCUAGUUCUGGGAAAACAGCGAGGAGAAAUAGAGUCCCCGGCUUUGGAGAGCUGACAUUCUAGUCGUGAAGACCAGCGAGUACAGAAAGCAGAAGGAAACUGGCUCUGGUACUAAGUGAAGCAACGGUAACGAAUGUAACAGCAGAGUAGAGACGCUUGUGUAUGUGUGUCUGAGGCCACUGGGCAGCGCUGGCUUAGCUAAGAGGAUGAGUGGCUGAGCUCCUAAGGGAGAGAAAACCACAUCUUUGAAGAGAUCUGGGAGCAGCGGAGCCCAAGUACAGGACAAACAAGUGCAAAGGCUCUAGGAAGCUCAAAGGCAUUCUUGCAUUUAAUUUUAAUUUUAAGAUGCAGUUAAUGUUAUGGUGUUGGAUUCUUUCUCGACAAUAAAUAUUUUGAAGGCCUAAAGAUUAUUUUGGUAUAAAUGUGAUACCCAGAGAAAGCAC
rnacentral:lncRNA from 1 species